AUAUGUAUAACUCAGUGGUAAAGCACGUGCUUAGCAUGCACCAGGUCCUGGGUUCAAUCCCCAGUACCUCUA
rnacentral:tRNA from 1 species